rnacentral:rRNA from 1 species
AUGGCGUCCCACUUCCCCUCGCUCGCCGGCCUCCUCGCCCCACGCCCGCUGCUCCUCUACGCGGCCACGUGGUCCGCCGUCGCCGCCAUGUCCGUGGCAGUGGCGGCUCUCGCGCCCGAGCUCGCCUACGUCUGGGGCGUCGCGCCGGGAGCGCCGCUCACCAAGGCAUGCCCCGAUGGCAGCUUCGCGGGCGGCAGCAUCGGGCUGCCGCUCGAUGGGCCGCCGUGGGACGCCGUCUGCGUGCCCGCCGGUCUCUUCGGCCGGACCGUGCCCGACGUGGUCGUCCCGCUUGUUUUCGCCGUCGUGGUCGUCGCCGGCGCCACCGCCUUCACCGCCGCCGUCGGCGUGUGGGAGGACGAUGAAGACGACAUCGAGAUCACCGAGGUGGGACAGGUGUAG